rnacentral:tRNA from 1 species
GGAGAGGUGACCGAGAGGCCGAAGGUGCUCGCCUGCUAAGCGAGUGUACGGAUAAAACCGUACCCAGGGUUCAAAUCCCUGCCUCUCCGCCA